UACGUAGGGUGCGAGCGUUGUCCGGAAUUAUUGGGCGUAAAGAGCUCGUAGGCGGCCUGUCGCGUCGGAUGUGAAAGCCCGGGGCUUAACCCCGGGUCUGCAUUCGAUACGGGCAGGCUAGAGUGUGGUAGGGGAGAUCGGAAUUCCUGGUGUAGCGGUGAAAUGCGCAGAUAUCGGGAGGAACACCGGUGGCGAAGGCGGCGAUCUGGGUAGAUACUGACGCUGAGGUGCGAAAGCGUGGGGAGCAAACAGG
rnacentral:rRNA from 1 species